CACCAUUAUGCUUUAUUAACCAGGACAACAGAAACACAGACCCUUACAUGAACACAAUAAACACAAGAACUCAAUCAAUAGAAGAACAGUCCCUUACAUGAACACAAUAAACACAAGGACUCAAUCAAUAGAAGAACAGUCCCUUACAUGAACACAAUAAACACAAGGACUCAAUCAAUAGAAGAACAGUCCCUUACAUGAACACAAUAAACACAAGGACUCAAACAAUAGAAGAACACAGCAGACAUUACUAAUCAUAAACAGGUGGGCACAUAUCUUCAAUAACUGAACAUGUUCUACUGCUGUGAUGUUCCCCACAGAACACAAGGAAUCAAUACUCAGUUUAAAGUGAUCACAACAUGAUCUAUAGCUUUUCGACCGCUUGCAUUACGAAUAUAAUAUAAAAUCUGCUUUACAUCAUGUGAGGCUUAUCAAAAUAUAAACUGAUAUCAGAGCCCCGCAGUAUGAAACUGUUAACGUCUGAAAAUAGACACAAUAUUGUAGUAUAAAAAUGUUACAAUUUACCACCAAUCAAUCAGAAACAUUAGAAAUAUAGUCUUUGUAAAGAUUUAAAAAAUCUCUUCCUUUCAUGGUUAAUCAAGAUCAACUUUAAGAAGCCCCAGAAAAUGUAGCAUUUGGAUUAUAGUUGAGUACAUGAAUAUAAAUCAUCAAAACAUCAUCAAAACACAAAAAAUCUAUCAUGUCCGACCAUCAGCACUUCUCCGCUUUUAUAGGAGGUUGUUCAGACUAUUUAUACCACCGUUCGCUUUUACAGAAGGUAGCAUAAAAUCACCUAACAUCACAAUCAAGUCAUCUGUUUCCAUAUAUUCAAAAGUCAUAAAAAUAAAAACAGAAAAGAAAACCAAAACAAAGAAACAAGGCUACCUUUUAAAAACAUUUCUAAACAAAAAUAUUCUUAUUUGAUGUGUCCUUAAUGCUGCUUCCGUGAUACAAACACAUGAGUAGUUGGCAAGCACUUAAUGUUUACUACUCUAAACAUUAAUUGUCAAUCCAGUCAGCAUUAAUAACACACAGUAUAACCCAACAUUUAAACGGUAUUCCUCUUCUCUUUCCCAUUGUCCUUCAUGAUGUCUCUGAGGGACCUACAUGGGGUUUGUUUAAUUUUUUUUUUUUUUUUUU
ensembl:lncRNA